rnacentral:rRNA from 1 species
UACUAGAGUAGCACUCGCAUAUCAAUAAGCGGAGGAAAAGGAAACUAACAAGGAUUCCCCUAGUAACGGCGAGUGAAGCGGGAAGAGCUCAAAUUUGAAAUCUUAAAGGGUUUCCCUUUACGAAUUGUAGUUUAAAGAAGUGUUUUCUGUUGAGGUUUUGGUAAAAGUUCUUUGGAAUAGGACAUCAUAGAGGGUGAGAAUCCCGUAUUUGACCUUUACUUUCAACUUUGUGAUACACUUUCAAAGAGUCGGAUUGUUUGGGAAUGCAGUCCAAAAUGGGUGGUAAAUUUCAUCUAAAGCUAAAUAUUGGCGAGAGACCGAUAGGCGAACAAGUACCGUGAGGGAAAGAUGAGAAGAACUUUGAAAAGAGAGUUAAACAGUACGUGAAAUUGUCAAAAGGGAAGCGUUUGACACCAGUGUUGUUUUUCUGAAAAUCAAUUAAAGAACUGUUUAUGCUAAGUUGUUUAGACUUUAUCAGCUAACUGUUUAGUUUUGAGCUUUUCUUUAAUGCACUUUUCAGUUAACAAGUCAACAUCAAUUUCUUUUGCUGUAAAAAAGCUUGAGGAAGGUGGCUUGAGAUUCGUCUUAAGUGUUUAUAGCCUCUUGCCUAUGCAGUCGGAGAGAUUGAGGUCUGCAGCGUAGAUCCUUCGGGGCUAAAUGCAUUUGUGCUAAGUUAUAGCAUUUUAUAGACAACUUGUUGACUAUGAUUUGUCUUGUAGCUUACUCGCUUAUGUUAUUUUACCUACGCUUAGGAUGUUGAAGACUCUACAGAGAUA